rnacentral:rRNA from 1 species
CGCGUAGGCGGAUUAUUAAGUCAGGGGUGAAAUCCCGGGGCUCAACCCCGGAACUGCCCUUGAUACUGGUAGUCUUGAGUUCGAGAGAGGUGAGUGGAAUUCCGAGUGUAGAGGUGAAAUUCGUAGAUAUUCGGAGGAACACCAGUGGCGAAGGCGGCUCACUGGCUCGAUACUGACGCUGGGGUGCGAAAGUGUGGGGAGCAAACA